rnacentral:rRNA from 1 species
UACAGAGGUCCCAAGCGUUGUUCGGAUUCAUUGGGCGUAAAGGGUGCGUAGGCGGCAGGGUAAGUUGGAUGUGAAAUCCUGGGGCUUAACCUCAGAAUUGCAUUCAAUACUGCCUUGCUAGAGAGCUGUAGAGGAGACUGGAAUUUACGGUGUAGCAGUGAAAUGCGUAGAUAUCGUAAGGAACGCCAGUGGCGAAAGCGAGUCUCUGGGCAGCAUCUGACGCUGAGGCGCGAAAGCUAGGGGAGCAAACAGG